GUGAAUACUUAACUAAAUAGGCAAACAGCUCCCAUUAAUGGCUAAGAUUGUAUAUCUUCCUACCCUUUAAAAUGGGGUCUUUGAGCCAGAUUUAAUUUAAUUUAGAAAAAUUAAGUACUGCUUAUUGGACUUCAAUGUUGUGAAACAAAUCUAUGCUUUUUAUGUAUAUUAUCCCACUUAAACUUUACCAUGCUUUGAAGUAGGUUUCUUUACCCUCUUUUAUAGAAGGGCACGAUCUGAAGGACAGAGAAGGUAAUAUAUAUUCAGAGUGCUAGAACAGAAGAGGGAGCCAGGGAUGGAGAGCCCCCUUACCCUGUGAGGGAUUCUUUGGAUGUAAAUGAUGGCAAGUACAAUUCAACUGACUUUAAAAACAGGAUCUGUUGCCUCAGGCACCUGAAAAAGUUCUGGGAGUAAGGCUGCCCUCAGGCAGGAGGAUUCAUACUGGGGCUCAGCUGAUGUCAUCAAGUUUCAGUUUCCAUCCAUUUCUCUGCUCUAGGUUCUGGACUGGCUACCUUGUAAGUCUGUCUGGCAAGUUCAUAGCUACAUCUUCCAAACUAAAAGCGCAGCUAAAAAUGGGUGGUUUCUCCCACUAGUCCCUUCAAAAGUCCCACUGUGCCUUAUUGUCUCCAGUUGGGUCACAUGCCCACCCCUGACCAAUCACUGUUGCCAAAAGCAUGGACCAAUCUUUUUGGCCAAGCCUGAGUUCAAUGUCCUCCUUUAAAGUAAGAGCGUUAGUGAUAAACAACUCCACUUGACAUGGACUGAAACUGACAACGGGGUUAGAUCCCCAGAGGGCAAAAGAAGGACUAUUUUUGGAAGGUGAGUGAAUGCUGAGUGUCAAAAUAAAAACAAAAACAAAACGGAUGUCUACUUCAGCCCUCUCUCUCACCACCCCAUUUCUGCCUUCUUGUCCAGAGUCAUGCCAUGCACUGAAGGUUAGAGUUAGAGGAAAUGCCAAUUCUGUGGAGGACAGGAAAGGAACUCAAAGUGGAAGGAAUCAAUCAGAGGCCCCAACAUCCAUGUGGAUAGACCAUCCAAUGAUCUGACCUCUCACUGUCUGCUCCUUCUCAUCUUAGAGUCCUUUACCUUCAUUCCAGUUCAGUUAUGGCCAUAGCCUAGAACUUAUCUCCAGCAACACUUGUGUGUUCUGAAAAAAUACAGUCUGACAUUCCACCCUUUAUCCUCUCAGCUUAUGCCCUCAGCAUGCUAAUUCCUCAACCUAUUCAGGAACUACAAGCCGCUCUAUACUUUCCCCUGCUCACCUGACCACCUUUGUCUUCAUUUCCUCCCUCUCCAAGGAAAACUUCAUGGGGCAUCACUUAAUGCUAAACCUAAAUAUACUGCUCUGCUCUAAACAGCCUACCCCCUUCUUUCAUUCGUCCUGUCUAGCAAAAUCCAACUCUGCCUGUUUUAGCACUGCCUUCAAAUAAGGGCCCUGCUUCCUCUUGGAUAAAAUCACACAAGUGUCUUUGUGCCCCAUAAACUUCUGUUCUACAUCUGUUGCUCAGCUCCACCACUGCCUCAGAAUCCAGUCAUUCCUCCUGUGUUACCAUGUGCCAGACGCUCUUCCAAGCACUUGGGACACCCAGUGGAGGCAACAAACAGAGGCCCUGUCUCGGGGGAGCUUCUGUGAUUGUUUUCUCAGUCAACUCUCUUGCCCAAGUUCUCAAAACAAUUCCACUUUCCUACACCUUGUCCACACUCCUCGCUCACUGAGCAUAUGUGCUGGACCACCAGAGGGAAACAGAGAAGUCAUCAGAUGGGAACUUUUCUGCAUAAAAACUUCAAAACAAAACAAAACCAAAACCAAAAUGAGACCCUCCAUCUCUUCUCUCCUCCUUCCUUCCCACCAUACUGAAAGGUUUCCCUCAAUGCUUUCCUUAAUCCUCCCAACCUGGGAUCUGCCCACCCUUUCCAAGUCGCAACACUUUCACAUGUGUGGGCUAUCUGCCUUAAUUAUCUACUUUUCCAGAGGACCAAGACUACAUUUACCUCAUCACAGCUGGAAACACCAAGCAGAGCUCAGAGUCCUCUGGAGGAAUACAUUGGCACUGGGAGGGAUCUACGGGGAGGUCCUGCCCAGCAUGCUCUGGGGCGGGGCCACGUCCGGGGGCAGGGCCUGAGAGACUCUGAGAGCCUGUUUGGCUUCUUGAGGGCGACGGCACCAGCAACGUGGCCAGACAUCUCACCUCAGGCUUCUGGAAGAUAUGAGUUGAGAUUUAACUCAAAGACAGGUUCUGAGGAAGGUUUCUGGAUGCCUGAGUGACCUUCCCCACUUCCCAGCCGGAAGGAUCCUUUCCUCCAUCUGAUAUUUCCAUUACGGUAUGCAGGCCCUCACAGCCCCUGGGCCCCCAAACUCUCACUCCAGGCCCAGCCUUAGAAGGCGCUCAGAGGCCUGGGGGCAGGGCUGCGCCUACCCAACACCACCCCCUUUGACGAUGGCACUCUGAGGAACUCCACCAAGUGCCCAAGAGGUACAGCUUGGUGCAAGAUGUGGGGUCUUUUAUAGAGUUGGACAAGUCCGCAGACACGAAACAUUUGAAAAGGCUGCUUGAACUGCUGACUAGCCAAAAUCAAAGAGGAAGUUGACCUUCAACCCUUUGUUUUAUUCCAGCUGCAGAAGUCAUUUUCAGUUACUCUCUGACUCAAGUAAACACCGCUCCCUGUCACCUUAUCCCUUUGAGGGUUGGUUCACUUCUAACUUUUCACUGGGACAUGAUUCUCACCGACAGCAGAAAGUUCGGCACCCAGACCUGCAGAUGUGAAGACACUUGCUCCUCUCUCGAACUAUCAGUACUUCUGGGAAACACGUCCCAGUGCCAAACUGUCCUGGUCCUGAAAUGACCCCGUUAUUCGGGGAGGUAGUAAAGGAAAUUACAUGUUUUAAACCCCGAGUGGCACUCUCUUUGGACAUCGAAAGGUGUAAAUGAUAAAAAUACCUUGCUAGACUUAAAGACCAGGGAGUAAACGGGGGGCUGGAUGCUGCCCAGACUCUGUGUGUCAGCAAAACAUA
ensembl:lncRNA